rfam:Pan troglodytes isolate Yerkes chimp pedigree #C0471 (Clint) chromosome 2B, whole genome shotgun sequence.
GCUGGGCGUGGUGGCACGUGCCUGUAAUCCCAGCUACUCAGGAGGCUGAGGCAGGAGAAUUGCUUGAAUCCAGGAGGUGGAGGUUGCAGUGAGCCGAGAUUGCACCACUGCACUCCAGCCUGGGUGACAGAGCAAGACUCUGUCUCCA